ACAUGCUUACAACAUAGCGGUAAUGCACAAGACCCCAUUAGAACUCCGCAAUUAAGCGCGCUCGGGCUAGAGUAGUACUGGGAUGGGUGACCGCCCGAGAAGUCCUAGUAUUUUACAUGCC
rnacentral:rRNA from 1 species